AUUGAACGCUGGCGGCAUGCCUUACACAUGCAAGUCGAACGGCAGCGGACCUUCGGGUGCCGGCGAGUGGCGAACGGGUGAGUAAUAUAUCGGAACGUACCUUUCAGUGGGGGAUAACGUAGCGAAAGUUACGCUAAUACCGCAUAUUCUGUGAGCAGGAAAGCAGGGGAUCGCAAGACCUUGCGCUGAUUGAGCGGCCGAUAUCAGAUUAGCUAGUUGGUGAGGUAAAGGCUCACCAAGGCGACGAUCUGUAGCGGGUCUGAGAGGAUGAUCCGCCACACUGGAACUGAGACACGGUCCAGACUCCUACGGGAGGCAGCAGUGGGGAAUUUUGGACAAUGGGCGCAAGCCUGAUCCAGCCAUGCCGCGUGAGUGAAGAAGGCCUCGGUUGUAAGUACGUC
rnacentral:rRNA from 1 species